rnacentral:tRNA from 1 species
GGCGAUAUGGCCGAGUGGUAAGGCGGGGGACUGCAAAUCCUUUUUCCUCAAUUCAAAUCUUGGUGUAAUUU